rnacentral:rRNA from 1 species
AUUGAACGCUGGCGGCAUGCCUUACACAUGCAGGUCGAACGGCAGCACGGGAGCAAUCCUGGUGGCGAGUGGCGAACGGGUGAGUAAUGUAUCGGAACGUACCUUUCAGUGGGGGAUAACGUAGCGAAAGUUACGCUAAUACCGCAUAUUCUGUGAGCAGGAAAGCAGGGGAUCGCAAGACCUUGCGCUGAUUGAGCGGCCGAUAUCAGAUUAGCUAGUUGGUGAGGUAAAGGCUCACCAAGGCGACGAUCUGUAGCGGGUCUGAGAGGAUGAUCCGCCACACUGGAACUGAGACACGGUCCAGACUCCUACGGGAGGCAGCAGUGGGGAAUUUUGGACAAUGGGCGCAAGCCUGAUCCAGCCAUGCCGCGUGAGUGAAGAAGGCCU